rnacentral:rRNA from 1 species
UUGAUGUUCUAACGUUGACCCGUAAUCCGGGUUGCGGACAGUGUCUGGUGGGUAGUUUGACUGGGGCGGUCUCCUCCUAAAGAGUAACGGAGGAGCACGAAGGUUGGCUAAUCCUGGUCGGACAUCAGGAGGUUAGUGCAAUGGCAUAAGCCAGCUUGACUGCGAGCGUGACGGCGCGAGCAGGUGCGAAAGCAGGUCAUAGUGAUCCGGUGGUUCUGAAUGGAAGGGCCAUCGCUCAACGGAUAAAAGGUACUCCGGGGAUAACAGGCUGAUACCGCCCAAGAGUUCAUAUCGACGGCGGUGUUUGGCACCUCGAUGUCGGCUCAUCACAUCCUGGGGCUGAAGUAGGUCCCAAGGGUAUGGCUGUUCGCCAUUUAAAGUGGUACGCGAGCUGGGUUUAGAACGUCGUGAGACAGUUCGGUCCCUA